ensembl:lncRNA
UGUAAUGGAGUUGUGGUGCAUAUCAGAUGUUAUUGUACACAUUUAUUAACUUUAAGAUUUUUUAAAGAACUUUAAAAAUGUAUACAAUGAAAUUAUCUCUUCUCUCUUUUUUCAGUGUCUAUUUUUCCAUCUGGUUUUUGUAAGUGAUCAAUCCAGCAGUUAUCCUGCAUAUCUGAUUUGCCAUAUUGAUUAGAUCAAUGAAAACUGGAUGCAUUUUAAAUUAUUUAUAGGUUAGACAUUUGCUAUAUCUCAGGCAUAUUCUGACAUACUUCUUUUUAUCCCAUCUGCCUGUGUCUCAACAGCAGUCAAGAACACCCCAAAGGCUCUUUUAAGAGCCAAGACACAGUCCGUCCUUUGGCUCUGUAAGUACAGGUUUUGACUAACUAUCAGAAAUAUUUGGGUUUAUAUGAAUGGAGAUAUGCCCUGCAGCAAACUGCAGUCUUAAUAAAGAUAUUAAAGAUUUUUAUUUAUGUAUUUAUGAAUAAAUUUAUUAUUAUUAUUAUUAUUAUUAUUAUUAUUAUUUUAUCAGAUUGACCAUGUUCAUUACAUUCUGAUUACUCUUUAAUACUGUAAAUCUGUAAUGACAAUUUUAUAUUCAUACAGGUUCAUCACACUCAUGUUCACACUUGUUUCCUGUUUUUCUCUUUUUUGCUUGUGUCUCAACAGCAGUCCAGAACACCCCAAAGGCUCUUUUAAGAGCCAAGACACAGUCCGUCCUUUGGCUCUAUUUUGGGUUGUCUUCCUUUGCCUCCUCAGUUUUAAUUUCAAGGUAAGUAAUAUUUAGUAUUUCAUAAUGUAAUAUUUUGCAACUGCUCCUAAAGUUAUUUUCAGUAAUGUCUGUUGUUCAGGUUUUUUUUGUUUCUUUUUUUUUUGUAUAAGCUACAGAAAACACAUCUCCCAAAUUCCAAAUAAUCAUCCAAAUCAGUGUUGUCAUUUAGUGCAUUUAUUUGCAGAGAACGACAACUGGUCAAGUUCUGAGGGUUGUUCCCCCUAAAAAUAAUAGUAUUGUAAAUAACAAUGUUUUAUACUUUAAACCAGUGCUUCCCAAACCUGUCCUGGAGGCCCCCCUGCCCUGCACCUUUUGUAUGUGUCUCUUAUCUAACACACCCGAUUCCACUCAUCAGCUCGUUAGUAGAGACUAAAUUAGGUGUGUCUGACUAGGAAAACGUACGAAAUGUGCAGGGCAGGGGGUCCUACAGGAGAGGUUUGGGAAGCACUGCUUUAAACAAUUGUGUAUGUAGUAAAACAAAGCAAUCGGGGCAAAAACGUGUUUUGCUUGGAAACAUUUUGAGUCUCCCCUCCCUUGCCUUACAGUGUUUUGGUCAAAAUGCAACACAAGUUU